UACGUAGGCAGCAAGCGUUGUUCGGAAUUACUGGGCGUAAAGAGUGUGUAGGCGGUGUUCUAAGUUUGUCGUGAAAUCUCCCGGCUUAACUGGGAGGGUGCGGCGAAAACUGGAAUGCUAGAGGAUGGGAGAGGUAAGCGGAAUUCCUGGUGUAGCGGUGAAAUGCGUAGAUAUCAGGAGGAACACCUGUGGUGUAGACAGCUUACUGGACCAUUUCUGACGCUGAGACACGAAAGCGUGGGUAGCAAACAGG
rnacentral:rRNA from 2 species